rnacentral:ncRNA from 1 species
CUUAAUUUGGUUUUUACCUUUGGGUAAAAUUAAAAGGGAACAAUGUUAAAUUCAUUGACUGUCCCGCAACUGUAAGUUGAUUAUAUUUUGUUUAAAUGCCACUGUAUUAUUUAUGGGAAGGCUAACAAAAUUUUCAACAAGUCAGGAGACCUGCCUCAAUAAG